CUGGUUGAUCCUGCCAGUAGUCAUAUGCUUGUCUCAGAGAUUAAGCCAUGAAUGUCUAAGUACAUACCUUAAAACGGUGAAACCACGAAUAGCUCACUGAAUCAGCUAUGGUUCUUUAUAUCGUAAAUGCUACAUGAAUAACUGUAAUAAUUCUAGAGCUAAUACAUGCCUUGAAUCCCUGACCCGCAAGGGAACGGGUGCAUUUAUUAGAACAGAACCAAUAGGGUGAGGCUUCGGCUGUGUCUCUAACAUUCUGUGAUGACCCUGGAUAACUUUACUGAUCGCAUUCGGCCUUGUGUCGGCGAAGGAUCUUUCAAAUGUCUGCCUUAUCAAUUUGUUGAUAGGUAAUUUGGCUAUCAUGAUGAUAACGGAGAAUCUGGGUUCGAUUCCGGAGAGGGAGCCUGAGAAAUGGCUAGCACAUCUAAUCUGUCAGGGAGCACCAGUUCCCUCAAGAUGAGUGUCAAAUAGCAUGAAGCCCGGGUCCAGGGUUUCCUGUUGACUACCUCCAGCCACCAUCUAAUAUUUAUUAUUUUAUUCGAAAUAGUAGAAUACUAUGAUACUACUUAAUAUUUUUUUAAAAGGCGUAGAUA
rnacentral:ncRNA from 1 species